UACGUAGGGUGCGAGCGUUUGUCCGGAUUUAUUGGGCGUAAAGAGCUCGUAGGCGGCCUGUUGCGUCCGCUGUGAAAGCCCGGGGCUUAACCCCGGGUCGGCAGUGGAUACGGGCAGGCUAGAGGUAGGUAGGGGAGAAUGGAAUUCCCGGUGUAGCGGUGAAAUGCGCAGAUAUCGGGAGGAACACCGGUGGCGAAGGCGGUUGCCUGGAGCUUUGCUGACGCUGAGGCGCGAAAGCGUGGGGAGCGAGUCCGG
rnacentral:rRNA from 1 species